AGUGAACGCUGGCGGCGUGCUUAACACAUGCAAGUCGAACGAGAACGGAUUAUAGCUUGCUAUAAUUGUCAGCUAAGUGGCGCACGGGUGAGUAAUGUAUAGAUAACCUGCCCUCUAGAAAGGAAUAACAGUUGGAAACGACUGCUAAUGCCCUAUAUGCUUUUAAUACAUAAGUAUGCAAGGGAAACGCUUUAGUGCUAGAGGAUGGGUCUGUACGGUAUCAGAUAGUUGGUGAGGUAAUGGCUCACCAAGGCUAUGACGCCUAACUGGUUUGAGAGGAUGAUCAGUCACACUGGAACUGAGACACGGUCCAGACUCCUACGGGAGGCAGCAGUGGGGAAUAUUGCACAAUGGACGAAAGUCUGAUGCAGCAACGCCGCGUGGAGGAUGACACAUUUCGGUGCGUAAACUCCUUUUAUAUAGGAAGAUAAUGACGGUACUAUAUGAAUAAGCACCGGCUAACUCCGUGCCAGCCGCCGCGGUAA
rnacentral:rRNA from 1 species